rnacentral:rRNA from 1 species
GCUGGCGGCGUGCCUAAUACAUGCAAGUUGAGCGCUGAAGGUUGGUACUUGUACCAACUGGAUGAGCAGCGAACGGGUGAGUAACGCGUGGGGAAUCUGCCUUUGAGCGGGGGACAACAUUUGGAAACGAAUGCUAAUACCGCAUAAAAACUUUAAACACAAGUUUUAAGUUUGAAAGAUGCAAUUGCAUCACUCAAAGAUGAUCCCGCGUUGUAUUAGCUAGUUGGUGAGGUAAAGGCUCACCAAGGCGAUGAUACAUAGCCGACCUGAGAGGGUGAUCGGCCACAUUGGGACUGAGACACGGCCCAAACUCCUACGGGAGGCAGCAGUAGGGAAUCUUCGGCAAUGGACGAAAGUCUGACCGAGCAACGCCGCGUGAGUGAAGAAGGUUUUCGGAUCGUAAAACUCUGUUGGUAGAGAAGAACGUUGGUGAGAGUGGAAAGCUCAUCAAGUGACGGUAACUACCCAGAAAGGGACGGCUAACUACGUGCCAGCAGCCGCGGUAAUACGUAGGUCCCGAGCGUUGUCCGGAUUUAUUGGGCGUAAAGCGAGCGCAGGUGGUUUAUUAAGUCUGGUGUAAAAGGCAGUGGCUCAACCAUUGUAUGCAUUGGAAACUGGUAGACUUGAGUGCAGGAGAGGAGAGUGGAAUUCCAUGUGUAGCGUGAAAUGCGUAGAUAUAUGGAGGAACACCGGUGGCGAAAGCGGCUCUCUGGCCUGUAACUGACACUGAGGCUCGAAAGCGUGGGGAGCAAAC